GAAGAACGUCUGGCACGCCUCAUGAUGAAAGAAGAGACUUGAAGGUGGAGAGAAGAUGAACCAACUUGACAGCAUCUUGUCCAGGAUCAAAGAGGAACAGGAACUGCAAACACCAGCUUAAGAAAGCUAGAGUACUUCAGCCAAAUGCAGUGUUCACCUACGUGUGAAUCUGAUCCUUUCUGUAUGGAUCACGGUUCUUUGAAUCAAGGUGCUCAGAGGAGGAAUAGGUUGUCAACAUUCUUUGAACCAAAAACUGGAGAAGAAAUAGGACAGAGAAAGCGCUCCUCGAUUCAAGAUGCCAAGGCUUUCGUUCGACUGGGGACGCCUCCUGAUUGCACUCUUUCUUUUUUUGCUCCUCCUCUCCUCAAAUUCAAAGUAACUAUCCUCCAAAAUGAAGCAAAUUCCUUUAAUAAAGAAUUGUACC